rnacentral:rRNA from 1 species
CCUACGGGAGGCAGCAGUGAGGAAUAUUGGUCAAUGGACGAGAGUCUGAACCAGCAAAGUAGCGUGAAGGAUGACUGCCCUAUGGGUUGUAAACUUCUUUUAUAUGGGAAUAAAAUGUUCCACGUGUGGGAUUUUGUAUGUACCAUAUGAAUAAGGAUCGGCUAACUCGGUGCCAUCAGCCGCGGUAAUACGGAGGAUCCGAGGGUUGUCCGGAUUUAUUGGGUUUAAAGGGAGCGUAGGUGGAUUGUUAAGUCAGUUGUGAAAGUUUGCGGCUCAACCGUAAAAUUGCAGUUGAAACUGGCAGUCUUGAGUACAGUAGAGGUGGGCGGAAUUCGUGGUGUAGCGGUGAAAUGCUUAGAUAUCACGAAGAACUCCGAUUGCGAAGGCAGCUCACUGGACUGCAACUGACACUGAGGCUCGAAAGUGUGGGUAUCAAACAGGAUUAGAUACCCGGGUAGUC